rnacentral:lncRNA from 1 species
AAAAGGAUAAUUAUUAGGAAAUAUUUGAAAGUUUUUUUUUUUUGCCUGUUUAUUAACAAAGAAAAAAGGUUUAAUUGACUGUUAAACAUGCGUCUAAUUCCAAAAAUGCUUAUAUGGAACAACAAACUUGAUACAACAACAUCAUCUGUGUUUUUUUUUUUUUUUCUUACAUACCAUGCUAGAACAAAGUUCAAUUCAGUUCAACAAAACUAUAUACUGUAGUAUAUAACUUGUUAGUUAAGACCGUAAAUUUCGUAAUAUCCCCCAUAAUUAAGUUGAAAGCUUAACGAAUGAGAGACUUCGAU